GAGAGCGGCGGACGGGUGAGUAAUGCCUAGGAAUCUGCCUGGUAGUGGGGGAUAACGCUCGGAAACGGACGCUAAUACCGCAUACGUCCUACGGGAGAAAGCAGGGGACCUUCGGGCCUUGCGCUAUCAGAUGAGCCUAGGUCGGAUUAGCUAGUUGGUGAGGUAAUGGCUCACCAAGGCGACGAUCCGUAACUGGUCUGAGAGGAUGAUCAGUCACACUGGAACUGAGACACGGUCCAGACUCCUACGGGAGGCAGCAGUGGGGAAUAUUGGACAAUGGGCGAAAGCCUGAUCCAGCCAUGCCGCGUGUGUGAAGAAGGUCUUCGGAUUGUAAAGCACUUUAAGUUGGGAGGAAGGGCAGUAAAUUAAUACUUUGCUGUUUUGACGUUACCGACAGAAUAAGCACCGGCUAACUCUGUGCCAGCAGCCGCGGUAAUACAGAGGGUGCAAGCGUUAAUCGGAAUUACUGGGCGUAAAGCGCGCGUAGGUGGUUUGUUAAGUUGGAUGUGAAAUCCCCGGGCUCAACCU
rnacentral:rRNA from 1 species